rnacentral:rRNA from 1 species
GAUGAACGCUGGCGGCGUGCCUAAUACAUGCAAGUCGAGCGAACAGACGAGGAGCUUGCUCCUCUGACGUUAGCGGCGGACGGGUGAGUAACACGUGGAUAACCUACCUCUAAGACUGGGAUAACUUCGGGAAACCGGAGCUAAUACCGGAUAAUAUAUUGAACCGCAUGGUUCAAUAGUGAAAGACGGUUUUGCUGUCACUUAUAGAUGGAUCCGCGCCGCAUUAGCUAGUUGGUAAGGUAACGGCUUACCAAGGCAACGAUGCGUAGCCGACCUGAGAGGGUGAUCGGCCACACUGGAACUGAGACGCGGUCCAGACUCCUACGGGAGGCAGCAGUAGGGAAUCUUCCGCAAUGGGCGAAAGCCUGACGGAGCAACGCCGCGUGAGUGAUGAAGGUCUUCGGAGCGUAAAACUCUGUUAUGAGGGAAGAACAAAUGUGUAAGUAACUAUGCACGUCUUGACGGUACCUAAUCAGAAAGCCACGGCUAACUACGUG